GCCGGAGUGGCGGAAUUGGCAGACGCAGCAGACUCAAAAUCUGCCGUGGGCAACCUCGUGUGGGUUCGAGUCCCACCUCCGGCA
rnacentral:tRNA from 3 species